CCUGCGCUCGACGUUAUUUCUGUUUAUAGAUUCCAGCCAGACACCAGUUCACCCCGAAUCCCCAAUGCCUGGACCAUCUGGCCUUUCCACGUGUGGACGUGCGGAUGAGUGUGCGCCGUGCCCGGAAACAUCCGGCCAGGAUAAACCAACUUCCACACCAUCUCACCGAGGCCCAAAGAGAAAGGUGUAUUCACCGAAGACCGCAGCCGUCAUCAAGCGACUAAAGAUUGAUGCGCAAAGGUAUCGGAAGUCAGCUUGGAUAAAAAGCCGCCGAAAAUUUACUACACGGGAAGCACUAGAGAAGCUAAAGCUUCAUAUGAGCCCUGAGUUAUACCAACUCUUGGGUAGCCAAGUGGCACUCCAUUGUCGCAAGAGGAAGGGAAGGAGGUGGUCUCGAGAGGUGAAGGAAUUCGCCUUGAAUAUGUAUUUUCAUGGGCCAAGUUCAUACCGCCAACUCGCUAAAGUGUUGACUUUGCCAUCACCGAGGUCCCUUCGAAGGUGGUUAUCUGAAAUUCCAAUGACACCCGGAAUUAUUUCUAAUGUAUUGGACAUUCUUAAAGAUGCAGCAAAAAGUUGGCCAGUAGACGAUCGGGCAUGCAUAAUUGCAUUUGACGAAAUGUCAGUGAGACCAAAUUUACAGUAUGACACAAAACAUGACGUAGUCAUUGGAUUUUCAGAUGAUGGCUCAGAGAGGACAACAGCGGUGGCAAAUGUAGCGUUUGUAGCGCUCCUUUCUGGAAU